GCGUAUACAAUCUACCUUACACAUAGGGAUAGCCUGGAGAAAUCUGGAUUAAUACCUAAUAGUAUUAUAUUUAUGCAUGUAAAUAUAAUUAAAGUUUAGGCGGUGUAAGAUGAGUAUGCGUCCUAUUAGCUAGUUGGAGUGGUAACGGCACCCCAAGGCUACGAUAGGUAGGGGUCCUGAGAGGGAGAUCCCCCACACUGGUACUGAGACAGGGACCAGACUCCUACGGGAGGCAGCAGUGAGGAAUAUUGGUCAAUGGUCGGAAGACUGAACCAGCCAUGCCGCGUGCAGGAAGACGGCCUUAUGGGUUGUAAACUGCUUUUGUAUAGGAAGAAUAAGGUCUACGAGUAGAUUGAUGACGGUACUAUACGAAUAAGCAUCGGCUAACUCCGUGCCAGCAGCCGCGGUAAUACGGAGGAUGCGAGCGUUAUCCGGAAUCAUUGGGUUUAAAGGGUCUGUAGGCUGAUAUUUAAGUCAGGGGUGAAAGUUUGCAGCUCAACUGUAAAAUUGCCUUUGAAACUGGAUAUCUUGAAUUAUCGAGAAGUUGUUAGAAUGUGUAGUGUAGCGGUGAAAUGCAUAGAUAUUACACAGAAUACCGAUAGCGAAGGCAGAUGACUAUUGAUAAAUUGACGCUGAGAGACGAAAGCAUGGGGAGCGAACAGGAUUAGAUACCCUGGUAGUCCAUGCUGUAAACGAUGGAUACUAGCUGUUUGGAGCGAUUUGAGUGGCUAAGCGAAAGUGAUAAGUAUCCCACCUGGGGAGUACGCACGCAAGUGUGAAACUCAAAGGAAUUGACGGGGGCCCGCACAAGCGGUGGAGCAUGUGGUUUAAUUCGAUGAUACGCGAGGAACCUUACCAAGGUUUAAAUGUAAUAGGAAUAGAGUAGAGAUAUUCUAGCCAGCAAUGGUCUGUUACAAGGUGCUGCAUGGUUGUCGUCAGCUCGUGCCGUGAGGUGUCAGGUUAAGUCCUAUAACGAGCGCAACCCCUGUGAUUAUUUACCAGCACGUAGAGGUGGGGACUAUAAUCAGACUGCCGGUGCGAACCGAGAGGAAGGCGGGGAUGACGUCAAAUCAUCACGGCCCUUACACCUUGGGCUACACACGUGCUACAAUGGCUGGUACAGCGAGAGGCAACUGCGUGAGCAGGAGCGGAUCUAUAAAGCCAGUCACAGUUCGGAUCGGAGUCUGCAACUCGACUCCGUGAAGCUGGAAUCGCUAGUAAUCGGAUAUCAGCCAUGAUCCGGUGAAUACGUUCCCGGGCCUUGUACACACCGCCCGUCAAGCCAUGGGAGUUAGGGGUGCCUGAAGUCGGUAGCCGAGAGGAGCCGCCUAGGGUAAAACUAGUGACUGGGGCU
rnacentral:rRNA from 1 species